UUUACAAGAACUCUUCCGCAGUGUUUAAAUCACCUAAAAUCUCAGACUUGAUUUCCUCUGGCAGAGGUGCAGACGGGCCUGCUCUAGAGUAAAAGUUUGCCAAAGCUCUUAUUGCUUUCUCAAGCAUGACAUACGAUUCCUGCAAGUAUCAAGGAUAUGAUAUCAGCAGAGGCUGCAGAGUCGGUAAACAAGGUAUAUUCAUGAUACGUAUACGAUUGAGCUCAGAACGAAUACUAAGGCCAGGAUACUCAAAGAAGAACUGCAAUUCUGCAUUUCAAAAGUUCUAAACUUUGUUUCGAGAUUCUCUCUUUAGGACAUCGAUUUUACGAUGACAAAUCUAGCUGCUAAAUCAACCUGGUGUUGCACAUUCUGCAAUUCUUUUCCUCGUAAUCAAUUGGCAAAAGGAAUGUACCUCAUUUAUGACUGUCUUUUGCCCUUUCCAAUUAUUUAUAUAGUCUCGAAUAGACUCCUUUGCUGCA